rnacentral:rRNA from 1 species
GAUGAACGCUGGCGGCGUGCCUAAUACAUGCAAGUCGAGCGAACGGACGAGAAGCUUGCUUCUCUGAUGUUAGCGGCGGACGGGUGAGUAACACGUGGAUAACCUACCUAUAAGACUGGGAUAACUUCGGGAAACCGGAGCUAAUACCGGAUAAUAUUUUGAACCGCAUGGUUCAAAAGUGAAAGACGGUCUUGCUGUCACUUAUAGAUGGACCCGCGCUGCAUUAGCUAGUUGGUAAGGUAACGGCUUACCAAGGCAACGAUGCAUAGCCGACCUGAAAGGGUGAUAGGCCACACUAGAAAUAGGACACGGUCCAGGCUCCUACGGGAGGCAGCAGUCGGGAAUCUUCCGCAAUGGGCGAAAACCUGACGGAGCAGAGCAGCGUGAGUGAUGAAGGUCUUCGGAUAGUGAAACUCUGUUAUUAGAGAAGAACAUAUGUGUAAGUAACUGUGCACAACUUGACGGUACCUGAUGAGAAAGCCCCGGCUAACUACGUG